AACGCUCUGAGAGACUCUGGGUUGAGGUCAGUGAUAAGGUAGUCUACAGAUGAGAGAUUAGAGAUGAGCUAUAGGUGUACUGACCAUAGGAGUCCCCUCCAAGCCUACCAUUGACUAUGUACAGACCCAGGAUGUAACAGAGCUAUAGGUGUACUGACCAUAGGAGUCCCCUCCAAGCCUACCAUUGACUAUGUACAGACCCAGGAUGUAACAGAGCUAUAGGUGUACUGACCAUAGGAGUCCCCUCCAAGCCUACCAUUGACUAUGUACAUACCCAGGAUGUAACAGAGCUAUAGGGGUACUGACCAUAGGAGUCCCCUCCAAGCCUACCAUUGACUAUGUACAGACCCAGGAUGUAACAGAGCUAUAGGGGUACUGACCAUAGGAGUCCCCUCCAAGCCUACCAUUGACUAUGUACAGACCCAGGAUGUAACAGAGCUAUAGGUGUACUGACCAUAGGAGUCCCCUCCAAGCCUACCAUUGACUAUGUACAGACCCAGGAUGUAACAGAGCUAUAGGGGUACUGACCAUAGGAGUCCCCUCCAAGCCUACCAUUGACUAUGUACAUACCCAGGAUGUAACAGAGCUAUAGGGGUACUGACCAUAGGAGUCCCCUCCAAGCCUACCAUUGACUAUGUACAGACCCAGGAUGUAACAGAGCUAUAGGGGUACUGACCAUAGGAGUCCCCUCCAAGCCUACCAUUGACUAUGUACAUACCCAGGAUGUAACAGAGCUAUAGGUGUACUGACCAUAGGAGUCCCCUCCAAGCCUACCAUUGACUAUAU